UUAAAUUGAAGAGUUUGAUCAUGGCUCAGAUUGAACGCUGGCGGCAGGCCUAACACAUGCAAGUCGAACGGUAACAAGAAUCAGCUUGCUGAUUCG
rnacentral:rRNA from 1 species